AGCCAGAGUCACAUCACCCUGCAGCCUAAGACCGUUAACUUACUGAAGCUAAGCAGGGCAGAGACUGGUCAAUACCUGGAUGGGAGACCACAUGGGAAAACUAGGUUGCUGUUGAAA
rnacentral:rRNA from 1 species